UACGUAGGGGGCUAGCGUUGUCCGGAUUUAUUGGGCGUAAAGAGCGUGUAGGCGGCCAGGUAGGUCUGCUGUGAAAACUCGAGGCUUAACCUCGAGAUGUCGGCGGAAACCAUCUGGCUAGAGUCCGGAAGAGGAGAGUGGAAUUCCUGGUGUAGCGGUGAAAUGCGCAGAUAUCGUCUGGAACGCCGAAGGUGAAAACAGCUCGCUGGGGCCGCGCUGACGCUGAGACACGAAAGCCAGGGGAGCGAACGGG
rnacentral:rRNA from 1 species